GCAGACUCUGUAUCACAAAAGUUCUUGGUGAUUUGGAGAGCACUAGGAAGAUCAUCUAGACAAGGCCACCUCUGCCUAGUGUAGUCAUCAUAACCCUCACAGGGUAUGUCCAGAAUCUUGCCCAAUUUAGGUGCAUCAAACUGCGCCUUCACUCCCCUAACCACACUGGUGACUACCCCAUUUUUCACAGUGGCAUUAGCCAUGAACUCGAU
rnacentral:lncRNA from 1 species